rnacentral:misc_RNA from 1 species
CCGAGUUUACAACUCCCAAACCCCAUGUGAACCUUACUCAACGUUGCUUCGGCGGUCACGCCCCGGCGCCCCAGUGGCCCGGACCCAGGCGCCCGCCGGAGGACCUCCAAACCAUUGUGUUAUUUAGUGGCAUUGUCUGAGUGGCGUAAAGCAAAAUAAAUCA